UGUGGGAUGUGUCUUCUGAAAUUGUUUUUUCUUCUUAGAAAAAUUAAAAUGUUUGCUAUUUUCUUUCCUUAAAAGUAGUGAGUUGAUGUUAAAAUAGCAACAGAUAUAAUAUUUCUAAUUUUAAAAUGUGAAGUUAAUUUUAAAACACUGUUAAAAUAUUUGUUUAUGGCCCUGGCCUUGAAGCCUGGAUUGCACCAGGCUAGAGCAGAACAAAACAGCUGUUGCUUUUACCAAUGAACUUGUGUUAGUGCUUCUGAUGCAUUUGGUAGUUGAUUAAUUUAACAUAAAAUUCUUUUUCUUUUGAGUGAAUCCAUCUGUGAAAUGGACUGAAAAUCAUUGCUAUUCUAGAAAUGAGUAAUAGGUAAAAACCUUGGGGGUUUUUUGAGAUGAUGAUGGAGAAAACAUUAUCAGUGCUGCAAGCAAGGCAAAAGCUGAGCUUUUUGCUCUUUGAUGUUGAAUAUCAUAUGGAUAUUUCUGUGCACUGUACAGUCUCUUUCAAGAUUUGUUUCUGUUAACAAUGUCCUCAAUAAAAGAGUUGUGUUUUAGUAUUCCUAGGAUUCCACAGGGCUAAGCAGCCAUGCUGCAAGUAUUUCUAAUAGAAAGCCACUCCCUCAAUCUGAUUAAAUGUUGGUGAGGAUAAUAUAGCUUACUCUGUUGAUUUUUGAUAAAACAGUGAAAGACAAAGGGAUGUGUGCUAUGCCCAAGAUUAUAAAUGCUUCUUACUUACAUAUUCUUUCUUAUUAUUGAGGAACACUUAUUCUGGAGGAACAAGCAUUGUUCUCACCACAGCUAACAUGCAAGUUGGACACUUAAAUGUGUUUUGAUGUUUUAUUUUAAGUGGACAAAAAUAUUGCAAUGGCUACUGUAUUGUAAUCAGCCUAACAAAUGAAUCAAAAAUCCCCAAUGGGAUGAGAUUUCAUUUAUUGUUAGUUUGCUUUCAUUCUGUUAGCUUUUUCAGAUUCCAGUAAUUACAAUGUUAUAUUGUGCUGUCUUUGUAUGAUGAAGAAUUCUCUUCUCCAUGUGUACAUGGAGCUCCAUGGGCUACACUAGAAGCCCGUUUUUUAUCUUAAAAAAUGUUCUUAGCAAAUACAUUUAAUACAAUAUUGCAUUGAUGCAAAAUGGUUUUCUAUUUGUCUUGUGAAAUUUCAGCUUAAAGAUUAAAUUCUACUCUUUGGAAGACAUAACUACUGAAGCAGAAUAUUGGACAGUUCUCUCUGUAUUCUAGGUGCGGUACAGUAUUUCUGAAGUCACUUGAAUUCAUGUUUGCAGCUUUCCUUAUGAAUAGGUUGCGUACAUCUGCUUCUGGCAAGUAUUAAUUGGGAAAAUUGCUGCUUGCAUUAUUCUUUCUCUAAAGAUGAAAUGUAUGUUUGGGAGGAUUUUUAACCUUUAUUUUGAAUUACGUUGUCUUUUUUUUUUUUUUUAGCAGAAAACAUCUCAUGUUAGGUGUGGAAUUUAAAACAGGUUUCCUUAUGUUCUUUAUCAAAGCAACAUCCUGAAGUAAUCACAGAAAACAAAAUCAUUUUAUGUAAAAGUUUAUGCUAUUGCUGCAAUAAGUUGUUUAUGAAAAAGAAGCCAUUAUUUGAAAUUUAGCAAUCACUUCUAAGGCACAUCUGGCCUACUUGUUUCCUGACGAUAUGAGGGAGUGCUAAAGUAAGGAAGAAAUCCAGAAUAGCAAUUUGUGGAUCUUUGACCUAAUUUAUACAUCUGCUUAUUAUGUAGAUACUUAGAAUUUUUUCAUAAUCUGGCACUUCUGCUUGCUUUUCUUCAUGUAUCAGAAAAUAAAGGGGUUAGGAGAAAACAUCCACGGAUAGACAGGUGUUAAUUCAGAAGGAAUCAGCUGCAUCUCUUCCUAAGCACCUCUGGCAGGGAGAAAUUGCUUUGCCUUCUAUUUGUAGACAAGAGAGGCCUCGUGUGGUCAGUUCUGCCAACAGCUUCGUGCAAAGCUGCGGGGAGGAGAGAAGCCUGCCUCGGGCACUCCUGGCCGCGGGGUGAGUGCCUGCUGUCUGCCAGCAGCCUCUGGCAGAACCCCCGCUCCGACACCGCCUUCACCAGCACUGCUGGGCCUUCUGGUUCCUCAGCUGAAGGCUUGGUUAUGCAAACCGGAACUGUAAGUGUGGAUAGGGAGGCGGUAUUUUGAAGCAAUACUGAUGAGUAGAUUUGAGGAAAAAUAAAUACCUGCAUAUGAUUGCAGGUGGUCUGUUAUUGGACAGGUCAGAAGUGGGAAAUACCACUUUCCCUGUUCCUUUCUUCCUUAAUGUGUUAGAAUACAGGUAUAUCCGUGAAGUGAAGGUUUUAGUGUUUUUAGAUUCUUUCUCAAAUAUGCCCAAACAAUAAAAACACUUUUUUCCUUCAGUGAAUUCCCCAACAAGAAGUGAUAUUGACAUGUUCUGAUUCUAAGAGAGACCUUGUGUCAUCAGAAGUACAGUAGAUACUCAGUACAGAUCCCCAUGUUGGUGUAGGUUGUGAAAUACACACAGUGUACAGCUUUAAAAUGUUAGGCUGUGAGAACCCAGUGAGAAACACUGUAUGAAUAAAAUGAGAACAUCACUAUUACUUGCUAUUACAUAGUUCCUUAUGAAUUCAUUUUGUUUUAAAUACUAUCUAUUUGGAAAUGCAAAGCAUUGUUCUGUCCUUGUAGGUGUUCAAGACCAGGUUGGAUGGGGCCCUGGGGAGCCUGGGAAAGGUUGGUGGCCCUGCCUGCAGCAGGGGGGUUGGAGCUUGAUGAUCCUUGAGGUCCCUUCCAACCCAAGCCAUUCUAUGAUUCUAUGAUUUAAAUACAUGUAAUAUGUUUAAUUAAAUAGAUUCAGUUCUUACUAAACCAAGCUUUUUUAUGGUGGGGGAAUUUUGCUACAUAUGUGGACAUGUCAUCUAUUAUAGUCAUAUUACUUAUGAAGUCCUUUCAGAAAAUUAGAGGCUCACAUUUGUCUCUAAUGUUACUUAAUAAAACAAUUUUUAAAAUGCCAUAAUUUGUACUUGAUUGCAGGCUGCUUGCAUGCAGUUGAUGUGGUAUCCUUAAUAAAUUAAUCAUAGGCCUCACUUUCUUCAAAUGUAGGCCUCUAAACGUUUGUAUGCUCAUCCCUUUUGAUUUAUAAGACUUGUUGCCUCUUUCAGUGGAUUUAAAUUCAUUUCCUGGCUUAACAUUAGUCAAACCUUCCCAUGAAACCAAAGGUACUCAGCAUUGGGUUGUAGCUCUGAACACACUGCUCAGGCAGGUCAUCACCUGGCGUAAAGGAAUGGUUGGUGUGAAGGGCCCUCAGGCUCCGGCUGUACUCAGUGUCGGGGUGUAGCUCUCCUCGCACUGCUCGUUCAGGUCAUCACAUGGUGUACAGAAAUGGCUCGUGUCGGGGCCCAUAGGCUCCCAGAAGCCGGAGCGCAGCAAGCAUGG